UGCUGUUAAUCAAUUUGUGUUCCGUUUUCCGUUGCCCUUUUGGUAUGUUUUUUUCGUCGCGUUUGCACUGUUAUUGUAGUAACAAUUUGUACUAAGUGGGUGUACAUCUGGAUAUUAUCGGUUCAGGAUGCAGUUAGUUAGGUACCUAAUUAUUUUUCAUGACUGAAAUUAGCAUGCUGAAAAUUGGGGAUAGGUUCAGCUCAUUCGCUGACGCAAAGAAAGCGAUUGAGGAACUUGGUGAAAAUACGUACACAACAUUUUGGAAACGAGAUGCCCGUACGAUUGCAAGCAGUAAAAUUGUGAGACCAAUAGAAAGCUCUUUGAUUUAUUAUCAACUUCUAUAUGCAUGUAACCCCGGUGGAAAGAAGUUUAAGGGCAGUGGGAAAAAAUUCGACAGUCUUGGACAUUUAAAGAAGAUUGCCCAGUACAUGUAAGAUUCAAAGCAUUGUCUGAUGGAAAAGCACUCGAGGUAACAUCGGUUCAAAUGAAGCACAAUCAUGUCACUUCGAAGGUUCUACAUGCACAUAACCCUAGCCAAAGAAAACUUUCCAGUAACAUGAAGGAAAGCGUCAAGGAUUAUUUGAAUAUGAAGGCCAAUA